GGGGCCGUAGCUCAGUUGGGAGAGCGCCUGCAUGGCAUGCAGGAGGUCGUCGGUUCAAGCCCGAUCGGCUCCA
rnacentral:tRNA from 3 species